rnacentral:lncRNA from 1 species
UUUUUUUUUUUUUUUUUCAAUUUUUAUUUAUUUAUGAUAGUCACAGAGAGAGAGAGAGAGAGGCAGAGACACAGGCAGAGGGAGAAGCAGGCUCCAUGCACCGGGAGCCCGACGUGGGAUUCGAUCCCGGGUCUCCAGGAUCGCGCCCUGGGCCAAAGGCAGGCGCCAAACCGCUACGCCACCCAGGGAUCCCGUGUUUUCCUUUUUAAGGCAUUCUUCCCUGGGGCACCUGGGUGGCUCAGUUGGUUCAUGCCUGACUCUUGAUUUCGGUUCAGGUCAUGAUCUCAGGGUCGAUGGAGCCCUGACCUGGGCUCUGUGCUCAGGGCAGAAUCUGCUUGAGAUUCUCUCCCUCCCCCUCUGCCCCUGCCCCCACUCAAACUCAUGCAUGCUCUCUCUCUCUAAAAACAUAAUAAAUAAAUCUUAAAAAAAAAAUUCUCUCCCUCUCCAUCUGCCCCUCCUGCCCUCCUACACACACGCCCUCUCUCUCUAGAAAUAAGGAAAUAAGUAAGCCUCAAUUUUAAAACAAACCAUCCUGCUCUAUUCCCCAGGUGCACUAUGUACCCCGCUCUCUCCGAGGAUGCCAUUCAAGCAUUUCCAUCCCUUGAGGCUGCCCCCCCCCCCCCACGUGUCUAUAUCCUCUGGAUGCUUCCUUCUUCCCUUUUCUCCGCGUGUGAAUGCCUUACUGGGUGCUGACCUCCAGGGCCUGCCGGUUCCAGCUGUCCACACCUAAGAGCUGUGCUCCCCAUUGGGUGCGCUGCUGGUCAGGUGCCGUGCAGCUCCUCACUUACAAUCUUUGGGCAUUCCUGGAGGACCAGCGAGACUUCAUGGGAGGGCCUGUCACACGAUGUGUGGACGGCAGUCCUGAGGCCGCUCCGUGAACCCAGGCAGGAGAGACCCUGGCCGGGACCUCAUCCAGCAGCCAGCUUUCUACAGCUCCAUGGGCGGCGGAGGGAAGGGGCCUCCAGUUCCCCAGGAGCCUUUUAUUUUUCGGCUGACCCUCUCCCACCUCUGUGCACCCUGGGGUGCUGUAGUGCCAAGUGCCUGCUGGCCAGCGUCCCUUUCAACCUCACGGGGCCAAGGACCUGGUCGUCACACCCCUGUGCUCCCCAGCUCCGGGCUCUCCUUGCUCUUGCCUCCUGUCCCCUCUGUCCAACCAUCUGCACCACAUGCUGCUUUCCGCUUUCCUCGUCUUCCUCCUUCUGUGUCUUUGCGUCUAUCUCUUGAAGAGACUCCAACAGGAACAGAGGAAGGACUGUGCCUUCAAGUCAAGGCAGCUCCUGGGCUCCCGUCUACACUUCAGGCAAUGCUGUGCUCCAGACGCGGGGUGAGUGGAUCCCUUCCACGGUGGGGAGAGGGCCAGGGCGCUGCGGACCCCAAGGUCCGUCUGCUGCUUGUCUGACGACAGGCCGGUGGCUCUGACACACUGGGCCCAGUUUCUGUUCUCCAGCUCCCGCGGCGCCGUGCUCCACCUGAUGGAGGUGACAGUCAUCCCAGGGCAGCCACCGCAUCCCUUGUGAUCCUUAGGCUCUGGCUCCAGCAGGUGCUGCACCAGGACCUCGUCCAUUACCUGACUACUCAACAACUGGCUAGAGCAUAAAUGACUCAAAAUGAGUCACUUUUCUUCAGUUUUCUCUUGCUCACGUACAAAUAUCGGGUUUGCUAAUUCCCUCAUAUCUUCUGCUGCAUUUUUGGUCCCUGACUACAUCAUAAACCAUCUGUCAGGCACAGAGAGACAUCCUGGGAUCGCCAAUGGGCCCCAUGUGCCAUGAGUCACAAGGCACAGACAGACUGGCUGGAAAUGAGGUGGAAGAGGAGCCCACACCAUGUGGGGGCCGAGUCAGGACCAGAACAUGGUCCCCGGCGGUCGCAGACGUGAGCCCGCAACACGGCCCCCUGUCCUCCGGG